rnacentral:rRNA from 1 species
GAACCGGGACAAACGUUAUUCGGGAAUUACUGGGCUUAAAGGGUGCGUAGGCGGCACGACAGGUGGGGAUGUGAAAUCCCCCGGGCUUAACCGGGGAACUGCGUUCCAAACCGACGCGCUUGAGAGAGACAGAGGUGAGCGGAACUUGCAGUGGAGCGGUGAAAUGCGUUGAUAUUGCAAGGAACACCAGUGGCGAAGGCGGCUCACUGGGUCUCUUCUGACGCUGAGGCACGGAAGCUAGGGGAGCGAACGGGAUUAGAUACCCCGGUAGUCCUAGCUGUAAACGAUGAGCACUUGGUUGGAGGGUUCGUCACGACCUUCCGGCCGUAGCGAAAGUGUUAAGUGCUCCGCCUGGGGAGUAUGGUCGCAAGGCUG